rnacentral:tRNA from 1 species
AGAGGUAUAGCUCAGUGGUAGAGUGUGUGCUUAGCAUGCAUGAGGUCCUGCUCAAUUCCCAGUACCUCCA